AAAGUGGAUUAAGCGAUCGCUCCCCGCCCCCUGCUGAAAAGUACGGGGCAUGGGGGAGGAAAGUCCGGACUCCAUAGGACAGGGUGGCCGCUAACAGCGGCCCCGAGUGAUCGGGGGAACGUGCCACAGAAAACAUACCGCCCUGUGAAAUGACCUUCCUGUGCGUGCCGGCCAGCCAGCGGGCCUGAUUUUUCAGGCCGGCAUCGACGUCCCGCCGGGUCUUAUUUCACGGGGUAAGGGUGAAAAGGCGAGGUAAGAGCUCACCGGUCUAUCAGUAAUGAUAGAUGCCAGGCAAACCCCACCCGGAGCAAGACCAAAUAGGAGGGUUAGACGGUCCGUCCUC
rnacentral:RNase_P_RNA from 1 species